AAGACAUGCCGCCAGGAUUAGUGAAACACUGUUAUGAUACUCUUCAAUGGGAACACCAAUAACACCACGAUGGGGCAGAGUCGACGGCAAUUGAUUUCCCAACCGGAAAAGGCCUUUCAAAAUGUAACGCAUUAUCACAAUUUAGUGUCAGGCAAAUAUCGGCCAUGGAAAUAAGAGACAACAUGGGACUCAAUCGAGGUCUUUUGAAUUUGACAAAGAAAUGUGACAAAGAUAUGAUGCUGGCAGAUGUCAUCAUCUUCUUCUAGGAAGCCGGAGAAAUACAAAAUCUAAAUAUGAUUGCAGAUGAAAGUUGAGUAAUCACGAUGCGAUACAGUUAUUCAGAAGAGCAGAUUAUGUUCAUGUUUUGUUUUAUCGAUUUAAAAUAAUCAGUUUUAAAUGGUUUAAUAUUUGAAAUCAAUUGUUAAACAUUAACUUGCCUAGUUAACGUUUACAUAUAAGUAGCAAUGUUGCCCUGAUGUUUCUAUUCUAUUGUCUGAAACUUGUGUUAUAUCAUUAUUAAGCGUAAAAAAUUAGACUAAAAUGGGAAUGAUUAGACAAUAAAUACUGAUACAUUCAUUCAGGAUAUUUUAUCGGAUAUUUAUCUAGAUUCAAUACAGACAACAGUUUAAGUUACGGCCUUCAUCAUUCUGUAAGCUCUCUAGGUGCUUAUACUAUGUAUGGUACCUACUAGGACGGUUCUUGAACUCGACAAAGGACAUGAACAUAGCACAGUUCUUUUUCAUUCGUGAUCAUAAAUACCAUCAAUAAAACUAUAAAGAAUACACUGAUGUAAAUAGUACAGUUCUUUAUUUUUCUUUUUAGGCAAAAGUCACCCUAUUAUUGUAAGCCAUGGUGCAAUGGAAGCCAAACCCCUAUAGGCCUACAGGAGAAAUUAUAAAGGCAAAUACAAAAGACGUGUUACUUAAAAACAUAGUUGAAGAAUACAGCACUGGCGGACAUCUUGUGUGGUGAAUUGCAUCGGAUGGAAUGCAGUCAAACCGAUCAUUAUGCAGCAAGUAAUUGCAUAAUCGUGGACGAUUCAAUUGUUGAAGCAGAAGUAAGGCUAAAGCUUCUUCGAAUAAAAGAAGAGUUAGCACAAUAAAUGGAAGAUGAGAUGGACGAAAGAGGAUUGAAUGCUUCAUUUGACGAUGACUAAUUCGAGGAAUCACACUAUGGAUAUGAAGAUUACAACGGAGAGGAAAGUGAUGUAUGAUAGAUAAAAACACCGACAUAAGGCUUACCCAGAAUUCAAAUGGAUUUCUAUUGGGGGUGGGGAGGGGUUAAGAGCUAUACUUUGCUCAAAAAUUAU